GUACCGUAUUAAAAUAUUGCCGUCUCGUUCUAACAACCUUGACGUAAAAUGUCAUAUGAACUGUCAAAAAAAUAAAAUAUAGAAAAGCUAAUCUACAUUGAAGAUUCGGAUAGAAAACAGGUGUUUUAAGAUUUAUGAAAUUUACACAUAACAUAAAAUAUAGAGGUUUGAGACGUAUACAAAUAUUUCCUGUUUACCAACUUGAAAAAAAAAAACAAUUGUUUGCGAACUUGACUAUAGCUGCAAAUGUUUGUCACGAUUGAAGAGCUGUCAAUUUUAUGCGCACGGUUGAGCCGCCCGCCGGUUAAUCCGUCCCCGGAUAAUCGACGUUCUACUUUGGUUUUGUAGGUCUUAUUUGAUUGGUGUCCGAGCACCGCCUCAUUUUCAAAAUAGUUGAAAUAAGACAGUGGCCUACCCUCGACUGACAGUCGUUGAUUGACUGCUGGUUUGACGUCUGGGGAGCGAAAGCGAACCAGCCUCAUGUACGAUUUCAGAUUCUGCCAAUAGCAUUCUGAAACAACGCGUGUUAACAACACAGUUGACUUCGCGUCCUUUUAACAAAUAAUAGUGCCCUCCUGCCGCUCAAAAAAUAAUGGAAAUAAGUUUGUGUACAUGUGUGUGUGAUGGUGAUAAUGGUGGCAUCUGCUCAUAGCAUUGUACCUGGUCUGGUAGAUGGCUACUGUACCUUCACGAUGAAGACGGUCACCAAUCCGACACCAAGCCGCUUAUCUUUCCCGAGGUUUGCUCACGGAUACACGAAAACGCACACCUUUGCAGUCUAGACGCGAUCGGACGCAGCCGGAUGGAGUACGUAUCGACGGCCACGAUGAAUUGCCUGCUGCUGGAUGACCCGCGAAGCUCGUCAUCCGUUGCCUUCCGGCGAUGCUGAGGUGAGGUUGGGAGGAAGUCUUCGUCCGGCCCUCGAGUAGCGUCUUUCGCUUCUAAGCCACACGCUAUCGUUCGCGCCAACUUGUAAAGGAUCGUAAAACACCCCCUCGCCACCUCAGCCAUCUUUGACGAGGAUAAGGACCGUGUGCGAAAACGACGAAACAGAUAGACGUGGGACAUGGAAAAAGUAAGGAAGAGGCUUGAAAAAAAAGAGCAAAGGCAGGAUGGCAUCGGUUGGGAUCGGGCAUGUUGGGUCAAACUACGAGAGGGAUGCUAAAAGUGGAAGAGUAUAGGGAAAGGAGGGUUUCUGGCACGCAGGUAUAAAUGAAGAACAAAAAAAAAGAAUAAUGAAAAGCCAAGCCGGUUGCUGCUGUCCAAGGCUAAAGUCAUAAACUGAUGAUCCACGAGCGAAAAGCAGCACGAAGCAAAAGCAAAAAUCAAGAAGGGUACAAACAAAAAGAAACAGACAGCGUCUGGAUGGAAGCAUUCCUCGAUGCUAUGGAUGCUGACGAAAUGGUCCGCGAACGCGCUCCGUAUGUAAUAUUCUCGACAUUGUGCUUUAUUAACAAAUCUUACAAACCUUGGGUUAGCAAACAACCGAUCGCUUAUAGUUUAUUUUUGAAAUAACGACUAUCGGUUAUACAGAUUCGUAACAGACUAGCUACUCGUUAUCAUUAGUGGAGACGCAAAAUGUAGAUGUAGAUGCAGACGAAAGCUGUAGUAGAACAGAUUAUGCGUUGUAGGCCACCAGAUAAUCAGAAGACGGUUAAAGCGUGCUACCACUGUUUGUCUCGUUCUAGUUCGCCCGUCGAUCAUUUUGGGGCCGGUAGUUCUAGGUGUGUUGAAAUAGUUGGAGUAGUGCGAAAACAGCAAUAAGGCGAAAGUUUUAGUUCAGCCGCUGAACCUAUCCUCCAUCAUAAUCGCAACACGCCUUCACCGUGUACAACCGGCAAUAGAUGGUAAAUGUGGCUUCGCAUAUAAUACUGUUCUUCUUCCUAGUUUUCCAUCGCCAUCGUCCAUGGCAAGAAUGCGAACUUCUUUCGGAUAGUUCUCGAGUUGUGUCUGCUUCUACAGAAUGUUACCUGCGUACCGGACAAUCCAACCAAUCGUCCUUUGUAGCCUUUCCAAUCGGCAAACACGUUCAUACCGGAUAGGUAGUAGCCAGAUGUUACAGUUUUUCGCGUGAAGAUUUACCUGCCGUAUCUCUUCUGACGUGUCUCUGCUCUUGUACCGCUGUGAUUCCAUCAAAGUCGAAGUUCGGCCUUCAUUUAGGAAAUGUAAGUGGCUUCAGUGGCACCUCCUUAGCUUUCCGACCGAUGAGUGUACACUAAGGUUCUCCCGCAUCGUCGAAUAUCCUCGAAUAUAAGACGCAUGCAUUCGCGUGCCGUCUUGCAUCGACAUUCGCCAAUGCGCAGGUCUUCUAUAGCCGAAAGCUGAUCAAUCUAGCUACGCCAAUCUCUCAACUGCGUGUCAUUAAUCUCCUCAUCCGACUGCGUGCCAGUUCGCCAUAGAUCCUGCCGUGAAUCACGAACAUCGCGAGCAGCCCAAGAGGAUCAUAAAGUGCAAUACCGCAAUACCUCUCUUUUAAACAAGCGACUCGUCAUAACCAGACUCAGGGUUAUCGACUACAUACUCCCAUUCCCUCUGCGUAUUGCCCUCUAAUUUGAGCACAAUUUACUGUGUGAGCAAAAUGCUCCAACCAUAAGGCCUUUCAUCCAAUUGCCCUAGCAUUUUCGCAUGCGUUUCACCACAAUUAAUCAAUGGGCGAAUUCUCACCCAGUUGGGAUUUUUCAUCUUAGAAAACAAAAUAAGCUCGUUCACGUGCUUCUUCUUGAUAAGAUACUUAUUUUUCCACUAAUGCCGACCAAGCUUGCACUGUGGUCAACGGUUCAUCUUUCAAAAAACUUUUGAGGUAAAAAACCCCUUUUCUGUGUUUGACAAUGCACUGUUUUUGUGAACCACCCCGGAGUGUGUGCUGUUCGUCUUCUUAAAUCUUAAAUUUUAGGUUAGAAAGCAAGCGAUUGCUUAUAGUUAAUGGGUCAAUUACCGACUAUCGGUUGCUGAUUUAACCUAACUACUCGAUAGCAUUAUGUUCUUCUGAGUAGAGUUGGCAUUCUGCCUUUGUAAGCAUUUCCAUGCGGCACUCACAAGUCCAACUUGACUGUCGUCGACGCACAGCCCGACUCUAUUGACGAUCAAAUCUAUCGUGUCCAGAAGAUGUUGAAAUUCAUCGAAACUCUAGCUUGGAGGCGCAUACGCGCACUGCACUGUACUUUCGAAGCUGGUACUUUGAAUUAAGCUUUUGGCUAAAUCGUGUAUAGACCAUUUUUUAUUUAAUUCCCAAGAUGUCACAAUAUACAUUUUUUUCGCAGCAAGGAGAAGCGCACCAAACCAAACGUUCUGCGAUCGUGAAACCGAUCGCGUUUAAUUGGCGGCAGAUAGAAAUCAUUUUGUUCGCAUACUGUUCAGUGGAUCCACAGCUCUCAGAGUCGGUUCUUAUUAGCUUAUAAAGCAGAUCUCGCGCUAAGCCCGUUUCUUCAAACGCUUCUUCCACGCUUCUUGAGCUGCUCGUGUAUCCUUUACAUGGUAAUAAUUAUGCAGUUCUAACAGUAAUAUUAUUCUACCUCGCGCUUUCUUAUCUUUUACGGGGUUCACGGCGUCUACUGUUCCGUCGGCUUUCACAACAGGCUCGACGGCGUCCCUCGAGGCGAUUGUGCAGGCCAAUUCAUGACGUCAAUUUUGUGAUCAACAAACCUUUUUUUAACCGCUUUUGCGGUAUGUUUCGGAUCAUUGUCAUGCAUGAAUUGCCAUUUCAGUGGUAUCUCCCACUCUGCAAGAGGCAGCAUGACAGUUUGGAUGAUGUCUUAGUAUCUGUGUUGGUCCAUGAUAUAUUUUAUCCAAAAGAUAGGACCGACACCGUACCAAGAGAAACAUCCCAAAACCAUGAUGUUGCCUCCGCCGUGCUUCACGGUUUUUACAGUGUACUGUGGCCGGAAGGCGGUAUACAAUGGACGACGCAACCAGCGUUUCCCAUCCGAACCUACCAAAUUCACUUUGGACUCAUCCAACCACAGUACAUUUCGCCACUUGUUCAGGUUUUCACCUGCCCAGUCGUAGUGCUCUUGAGCAAGCUGCAACCGGGCUUGAACUGUUUUGGAUCGGUCAAGUAUUUCCGCGGAUUUGGAGCGGAGCUUUCUCAACUCUUUAAGAAUUGGAGAGGUCCAGUUCCUCCCCUCAAAUCCGCCGUUCCUAAAAAUAUCCCUUACAUCAAGCGAUAUCUGACACGCCGCUUCUUCUUCCGUCUUGAAGCUGUCCAGAUAGUCGCCAACGUAAGUGCUUUCGAUAAUUCCCUCCAUUGUAUAGGCAUUGAUGUUUGCGGAUCUCUUCGAUGAGUUUCGGAGUGUGUGCUGUUCGUCUUUUUAAAUCUUAGGUUAGAAAGCAAGCGAUUGCUUAUAGUUAAUGGGUCAAAUACCGACUAUCGGUAUCCGACUUAACCUAGUUACUCGUUAUUACUGUGCUCUUUUGAGUAGAGUUGGCAUUCUGCCCUAAUAAGUAUUUCCAUUAUGAUAAGUCGUGCGGAAAUAGCCACCAAUGGUGUCAAUCUUUGCAUCCCCUUCUAAGUCGUCUACCAAAUGAUCGCGUAGGAAUUCCAUUUCUUCAAUUUGUUCCGUUAGCGGGGUUGUCUCAUUGUUCUCCAAAUAUUGUUUUAACAUAUCUUUACGUGCUAGGUACUUCUUCUGACAUUAUGCCACGGUCGGUGAAAGUUGUAUCUGUACAGCGACUGUUGCUUGUCCACUUUUCUGCUCUGUAGAUACCAGGCAGAAUGGAAAAAUCGUGGGAAUUUAAUUCUUCGUCAAUUAUAAAUUAUUUAUCUUCUUUCACAGAUAGUGUGAAAAAUUGGAAUGUUCGUUCACUGGACGGCUCUGGUUUUUGGUUUCUUACGAUCGUGGAUAAGUUUUCCCCUAGUCCUUCUAUGUACCGGGUUGUUUAUUGAAAAACGUCAGCCACGGCAGCCACCAAUCGGUAGCGAAAACCGCGUGGACAAGCCUCUCCUCCACCCUAAAACGGCCACGAGCCGUUCUUUCGAUCCUUUAUGGCGUUCCGUGGGUGUGAGCAAUUUAUUUUAUUCUCUGAAACGGAGGUACAAAUUUUAGAUGUUGUUGGAGGCGCUCUUAAACACUUGCUCUCCUAUCUCUUAGCUAAGCCUGAUCGUACCGAACACUCUCCGAACGUGAUGCAGCGGUGGUGUUAGGAAGAAUUCUCAUCUUGUGCUCGAGUGGAAUCUCUUCCUCUUCUAGGCUGCUCGCUAUCGUUCGAUGUCGUUGCGGUGUCGUUCAGACAAAGUCUUCAUCUGGCGGUGAGUUGUGUAUUCCUUCUAUGGAUCGUUCUAAGUUUAUAGAACAGCAUCUUUAGCCAACAUGGACACUUUGUUCUAACACAAAAUAGAGUCAAAGAUGCGCAUUCCAGCAAUCCGACCACGUACAAGAACCGUGCUGUCGAUCGUUUGUUGCGAGCUACCUGUAUGGAAUAUACAUUAAAACACGAAUUAAUAAUCAUCUAUAAUUAUUACAUUUAUAAUGUAAUUUUAAUUAUAAUAAUACCUCGCGAGAGAUAUAUAUUAAAACUAACCUUCACAAAAGGACGCUUCAUUUUUUAUGACUUUUUAUUUUUUUUGGGACAGCUACCAGCUACACUAAAUCACGAUGAGGAUCUCACGUGCCUCAGCAAUGAUUUCGUUCUUUACAGUUCUAAUGAGUUGCGGGUACAUUGGCUCAUUUUCGAAGCACUCAAAAAGUUUGAUCCCGUGUUUUAUAACAGAUAAACGGAUCAAUCGAUUUCCAAAAUAUUUGUUUGUUUAUUGAAAAUCGUCAGCCACGGCAGCCACCAAUGGCAAGCGAAAACCGCGUGAACAAGCCUCUCCUCCACCCUAAAACGGCGACGAGACGUGCUGUCGAUACUGUAUGGCGUUCCGUGGGCGUGAGCAAUUUAUUUUAUUCUCUGAAACGGAGGUACAAAUUUUAGAUGUUGUUGGAGGCGCUCUUAAACACUUGCUCUCCUAUCUCUUAGCUAAGCCUGAUCGUACCGAACACUCUCCGAACGUGAUGCAGCGGUGGUGUUAGGAAGAAUUCUCAUCUAGUGCUCGAGUGGAAUCUCUUCCUCUUCUAGGCUGCCCGCUAUCGUUCGAUGUCGUUGCGGUGUCGUUCAGACAAAGUCUUCAUUAUUACACUUAUAAUGUAAUUUUAAUUAUAAUAAUACCUCGCGAGAGAUAUAUAUUAAAACUAACCUUCACAAAAGGACGCUUCAUUUUUUAUGACUUUUUAUUUUUUUCUUUUUGUUUAUUUUUCUAUAACAAAAAACUUUGAGGUCUUCGUGGCGUACCGGAACGAUGAAAAACCAGCAGCUGCAGCUACCAGACAGCUGCUUUUCUUCCUUUCUUUCUUUCCAAAACACUUUUCUUUCUUUCUUUUUGUUUAUUUUUAUAUAACAAAAAACUUUGAGGCCUUCGUGGCGUACCGGAACCACGAUGAGGAUCUCACGUGCCUCAGCAAUGAUUUCGCUCUUUACAGUUCUAAUGAGUUGCGGGUACAUUGGCUCAUUUUCGAAGCACUCAAAAAGUUUGAUCCGGUGUUUUAUAACAGAUAAACGGAUCAAUCGAUUUCCAAAAUAUUUGAUUGUUUAUUGAAAAUCGUCAGCCACGGCAGCCACCAAUAGCAAGCGAAAACCGCGUGAACAAGCCUCUCCUCCACCCUAAAACGGCGACGAGACGUGCUGUCGAUCCUUUAUGGCGUUCCGUGGGCGUGAGCAAUUUAUGUUGUUGGAGGCGCUCUUAAACACUUGCUCUCCUAUCUCGUAGCUAAGCCUGAUCGUACCGAACGCUCUCCGAACGUGAUGCAGCGGUGGUGUUAGGAAGAAUUCUCAUCUAGUGCUCGAGUGGAAUCUCUUCCUCUUCUAGGCUGCUCGCUAUCGUUCGAUGUCGUUGCGGUGUCGUUCAGACAAAGUCUUCAUCUGGCGGUGAGUUGUGUAUUCCUUCUAUGGAUCGUUCUAAGUUUAUAGAACAGCCUCUUUAGCCAACAUGGACACUUUGUUCUAACACAAAAUAGAGUCAAAGAUGCGCAUUCCAGCAAUCCGACCACGUACAAGAACCGUGCUGUCGAUCGUUUGUUGCGAGCUAUCUGUAUGGAAUAUACAUUAAAACACGAAUUAAUAAUCAUCUAUGAUUAUUACACUUAUAAUGCAAUUUUAAUUAUAAUAAUACCUCGCGAAAGAUAUAUAUUAAAACUAACCUUUCACAAAAGGACGCCUCAUUUUUUAUGACAACACGACAGCUUGACAGCUUGACAGUGGGCCACGAGGCGAGUUUGACAAUUUGACGGACCUAAGCGGUAUAACAGUUUGCUGACCAAUUCGAGCUCCAAGAUUCGAAAGUAAAAUUAAAAACGAACUUCCGGUUUGAUUCAAUUAAAAAAAAUAUAUUCUAAAUCUAAAAACUCUGUGUUAAAUUCAGUAAGAAUCGUAUAAAACAGUUAAAUUAAUUUUAGAGGCAAACUCUAAAACAUUAAUGCAAACCUCUGUGCCGAUAUAUUUCAACCCUCGAAGCCGGUAGUGUAAACUAUUGUUUUCAUAGGAGUCCGCUGUACGUGUGAUACUCGAGAUACGCAAUUGUGCUCGGUACCGUACUAUAAUAAUCAGAUAAUUAAUGUAAUGCUAAACUAACGCGCUAACCGUUAGCCAAAAAUCUGGAAGCCACGGCGCCACCAAUCGCAACCUAAAAGGGGCGAGGACAAGCCUCCCAUCUAUCCGAACAAAAAGACUUUUCUUUCUUUCUUUUUUUAUUUUUAUAUAAAAAGACUUUGAGGUCUAGCUCAUUCGCUUCUUUAACAAGAAGACGAGCCGUGCUGCUAACAACUUUACUUUUAUUUAUUUUUACAAUAAAAAAAACCGUACUGUCGAUUGUUGGUAGCGUUCCGGAGGGAUGCGGAAACACAGCCCGUUCCCGCUGCUGAAAGGUAACCAGCUACCAGCUACCAGCAACCUUCCAGCAAUCCAGCAAAAAAUGAUCGCGUAGGAAUUCCAUUUCUUCAAUUUGUUCCGUUAGCGGGGUUGUCUCAUUGUUCUCCAAAUAUUGUUUGCGCAUUCCAGCAAUCCGACCACGUACAAGAACCGUGCUGUCGAUCGUUUGUUGCGAGCUACCAGCUACACUAAAUCACGAUGAGGAUCUCACGUGCCUCAGCAAUGAUUUCGCUCUUUACAGUUCUAAUGAGUUGCGGGUACAUUGGCUCAUUUUCGAAGCACUCAAAAAGUUUGAUCCGGUGUUUUAUAACAGAUAAACGGAUCAAUCGAUUUCCAAAAUAUUUGAUUGUUUAUUGAAAAUCGUCAGCCACGGCAGCCACCAAUAGCAAGCGAAAACCGCGUGAACAAGCCUCUCCUCCACCCUAAAACGGCGACGAGACGUGCUGUCGAUCCUUUAUGGCGUUCCGUGGGCGUGAGCAAUUUAUGUUGUUGGAGGCGCUCUUAAACACUUGCUCUCCUAUCUCGUAGCUAAGCCUGAUCGUACCGAACGCUCUCCGAACGUGAUGCAGCGGUGGUGUUAGGAAGAAUUCUCAUCUAGUGCUCGAGUGUAAUCUCUUCCUCUUCUAGGCUGCUCGCUAUCGUUCGAUGUCGUUGCGGUGUCGUUCAGACAAAGUCUUCAUCUGGCGGUGAGUUGUGUAUUCCUUCUAUGGAUCGUUCUAAGUUUAUAGAACAGCCUCUUUAGCCAACAUGGACACUUUGUUCUAACACAAAAUAGAGUCAAAGAUGCGCAUUCCAGCAAUCCGACCACGUACAAGAACCGUGCUGUCGAUCGUUUGUUGCGAGCUAUCUGUAUGGAAUAUACAUUAAAACACGAAUUAAUAAUCAUCUAUAAUUAUUACAUUUAUAAUGUAAUUUUAAUUAUAAUAAUACCUCGCGAAAGAUAUAUAUUAAAACUAACCUUCACAAAAGGACGCCUCAUUUUUUAUUACAACACGACAGCUUGACAGCUUGACAGUGGGCCACGAGGCGAGUUUGACAAUUUGACGGACCUAAGCGGUAUAACAGUUUGCUGACCAAUUCGAGCUCCAAGAUUCGAAAGUAAAAUUAAAAACGAACUUCCGGUUUGAUUCAAUUAAAAAAAAUAUAUUCUAAAUCUAAAAACUCUGUGUUAAAUUCAGUAAGAAUCGUAUAAAACAGUUAAAUUAAUUUUAGAGGCAAACUCUAAAACAUUAAUGCAACCCUCUGUGCCGAUAUAUUUCAACCCUCGAAGCCGGUAGUGUAAACUAUUGUUUUCAUAGGAAGCCGCUGUACGUGUGAAACUCGAGAUACGCAAUUGUGCUCUGUACCGUACUAUAAUAAUCAGAUAAUUAAUGUAAUGCUAAACUAACGCGCUAACCGUUAGCCAAAAAUCUGGAAGCCACGGCGCCACCAAUCGCAACCUAAAAGGGGCGAGGACAAGCCUCCCAUCUAUCCGAACAAAAAGACUUUUCUUUCUUUCUUUUUUUAUUUUUAUAUAAAAAGACUUUGAGGUCUAGCUCAUUCGCUUCUUUAACAAGAAGACGAGCCGUGCUGCUAACAACUUUACUUUUAUUUAUUUUUACAAUAAAAAAAACCGUACUGUCGAUUGUUGGUAGCGUUCCGGAGGGAUGCGGAAACACAGCCCGUUCCCGCUGCUGAAAGGUUACCAGCUACCAGCUACCAGUAACCUUCCAGCAAUCCACACGUACACGUACACGAACCGUGCUUUCGAUCCUUCGUGGCGUACCGGGACCACUUUAGGGAAAUUAUACGGUUCCCUAACACUAGCACAGGGGCUUCGGAUGAGCUUCAGAAAGGCGUCUUACUCCGUUGAGGUUCAGGAUACAAGAGCUAACGAAAAUCGAACAACACAAUCAUGGAAUUGAUAAACACAAUUAUGCGCUUUUUUCAAAUGUCUUCAGAUACCAUCAAGAAAUCCUACAGACAUCCGAAACGCCGUCUCAAAAUACACUAGCGUAUUUAGCCCACCACGAAAAAUAAUUUGUGAUUUAGAAACUACAUUUAGAAGAAGCCUUCAGCUACAAACUUUCUCUUCCGAAUCCAAUGGCCAAGUAGAGCAAACGCACAGUACCAUUAAAGAACCGAUCAAUACAAACAAACAAACAUUCGGAGAUUUUAGUUCACCAGAGUUAGUGAACAUGGUAACAGCCUUAUACAACGAUAACUGCACACUCCGCUAUUGGGUUCGCCGCUAACGAAAUAUUAUUCAACUGAUUGAAUACAACAGAAUAAAACCAUUUUCACAUUUCAACAUAAGAGAUGAAGAACGCUUACAAUAAAGUAUCUUAAAAAAAUACAAAACACCCAUAGAGACAUGUAAAGAUACAAUGACAAUAAGGCAAACCCAUCAGAAAUAGAGACAGAGAAGGCAGUCUACGUAAAGAAAGGUGUAAAAAAACAUAAGAUCCCAGAUUCAAUGCGAAAACAUGUAUGAAUAUCAAUAACAAUAGGGCAGUACCAAUAGACAUAACAGUCGAGAACAACAAAAACAAAUUUAACGAUCAAAAUCAUCAUUUUAUUGUCAUUACGGAAGUAACCAAUAACUAAAGUAAUCAUAAAAAGAAAGGAAAAAAGCAAUCAUCGCUAAUCCUACCAACAUUAGCAUUACUUAAAAUGAAAAGCUACGGCCAAGAAAUAGAAAUUACGUUUUUAAAUAGGCAACCAUUAUUGUUUUGUCAAAACCAAAUCAUGUAGAAUACAUUUCGGAACAUGAAAAUUAUAUUAACACACUAAUAACCCAUCUGUGGAUAUGCGAAACAACUAACAAUUACAUUUAAUGAACUAAAUCGUGUGAAGAUUAAACAAUUGUACUCGAACUUUAUACAAAUAGUACCAAAACAUUGACUUAGCUGAAGCAUCGAACUCAUCGGUCAACCGUGGAAGUGGAUAACUGGCAGUCCAGGUCGUUGAAUAUUUGCGUCUGAUUAACGCAACAAUGAACAAGCUGGUUGACGGCAACGACCUCCAAUUUAGAAUCAAUGAGAGCAGUUUAACAAACGUUUGCAAUCCUCACCAACUCCAAAGACGAGAUAAUUAAGAGAAAACAUCCGCAUUCUACUGACAUUGAAGCUAUCAAGAGCCCAUAUUUAACAUCAACGGCAUGAUUCACCUCAUAGAAUUCAUCCAAAACACAGCAGUUUGGGUACACGAAUCUGUUACCAACAGUAAACUCCUCACAGCACCACACGAGAUGAGUUUGAUACGUUCCACACUACCAGAACAAGGCGCCGGGAUAGACAUUCCCAGUACAUCCCAGUUAGAAACAGAACAAGCUUCAGAGCUGUAGCUGAACAUCUAAUAUUACUGAAUAAUGGUAACAGCAUCAGCUAACGGAGCAAAUGCGUUCCUAACAAUAGAACAAUCCAUGGGAUCUAUUUGAUCCAUGGGAGUUCUCCAACUGCACAGUUAUAAUUGGGAAAGAUACACCUUCUCAUCAAAAACGCCUUCGAUUACAUCGGAACCAUAUUGAGUGCCCAAGCAGCAAUACCGCCAAAUACCAAUAACCUUUGGCAACAAUGUCAUUAAUAGGAUACGUUAAGCUUCUGCAAUUCAGCAACAUCGAUUACUGGAAGUGGAGUAUACCGGGAGGAACACUGAAUCCCAUCGUAACAAUGCUUACGUUCACAUUUUACCUCGUUAUUUACUGCAGAAGAACAAUAGGGACCAUCGAUAGAGCAUUAAACUCUAAGAAAAGGCGAAUUGCAAAGCGAUACCUUAAACGCGUCUUCACCCGCCGGAGGAGUUACGUGCCCAGCUACUGCCACGUGUGCACGCGCUCCCUAGCAACAGUAACGCAACACCAAUGUGCUGCGUAUCCGGCAACAGCAACCUGAUUGCUAACCUGACGCAUAAUCGAUCGAACCAGCCAACAAGCCAGCCAACCAGCCAGCCAACCAGCCAGCCAACCAGCCAGCCAACCAGCCAGCCAACCAGCCAACCAGCCAGCCAUCCAGCCAGCCAACCAGCCAGUCAACCGACCCGUCAGCGAGCCAACAGUUCGUGAAACACUCCAUGAGUAAAGAAUAAAGUUUUUUAAAACUAA